UUUAUGGAGAGUUUGAUCCUGGCUCAGGAUGAACGCUGGCGGCGUGCCUAAUACAUGCAAGUCGAGCGAACGGACGAGAAGCUUGCUUCUCUGAUGUUAGCGGCGGACGGGUGAGUAACACGUGGAUAACCUACCUAUAAGACUGGGAUAACUUCGGGAAACCGGAGCUAAUACCGGAUAAUAUUUUGAACCGCAUGGUUCAAAAGUGAAAGACGGUCUUGCUGUCACUUAUAGAUGGAUCCGCGCUGCAUUAGCUAGUUGGUAAGGUAACGGCUUACCAAGGCAACGAUGCAUAGCCGACCUGAGAGGGUGAUCGGCCACACUGGAACUGAGACACGGUCCAGACUCCUACGGGAGGCAGCAGUAGGGAAUCUUCCGCAAUGGGCGAAAGCCUGACGGAGCAACGCCGCGUGAGUGAUGAAGGUCUUCGGAUCGUAAAACUCUGUUAUUAGGGAAGAACAUAUGUGUAAGUAACUGUGCACAUCUUGACGGUACCUAAUCAGAAAGCCACGGCUAACUACGUGCCAGCAGCCGCGGUAAUACGUAGGUGGCAAGCGUUAUCCGGAAUUAUUGGGCGUAAAGCGCGCGUAGGCGGUUUUUUAAGUCUGAUGUGAAAGCCCACGGCUCAACCGUGGAGGGUCAUUGGAAACUGGAAAACUUGAGUGCAGAAGAGGAAAGUGGAAUUCCAUGUGUAGCGGUGAAAUGCGCAGAGAUAUGGAGGAACACCAGUGGCGAAGGCGACUUUCUGGUCUGUAACUGACGCUGAUGUGCGAAAGCGUGGGGAUCAAACAGGAUUAGAUACCCUGGUAGUCCACGCCGUAAACGAUGAGUGCUAAGUGUUAGGGGGUUUCCGCCCCUUAGUGCUGCAGCUAACGCAUUAAGCACUCCGCCUGGGGAGUACGACCGCAAGGUUGAAACUCAAAGGAAUUGACGGGGACCCGCACAAGCGGUGGAGCAUGUGGUUUAAUUCGAAGCAACGCGAAGAACCUUACCAAAUCUUGACAUCCUUUGACAACUCUAGAGAUAGAGCCUUCCCCUUCGGGGGACAAAGUGACAGGUGGUGCAUGGUUGUCGUCAGCUCGUGUCGUGAGAUGUUGGGUUAAGUCCCGCAACGAGCGCAACCCUUAAGCUUAGUUGCCAUCAUUAAGUUGGGCACUCUAAGUUGACUGCCGGUGACAAACCGGA
rnacentral:rRNA from 1 species